rnacentral:rRNA from 1 species
AACGAACGCUGGCGGCAUGCCUAACACAUGCAAGUCGAACGAGACCUUCGGGUCUAGUGGCGCACGGGUGCGUAACGCGUGGGAACCUGCCCUUAGGUUCGGCAUAACUCCCCGAAAGGGGUGCUAAUACCGGAUAAUGUCUUCGGACCAAAGAUUUAUCGCCUUUGGAUGGGCCCGCGUUGGAUUAGCUAGUUGGUAGGGUAAAAGCCUACCAAGGCGACGAUCCAUAGCUGGUCUGAGAGGAUGAUCAGCCACACUGGGACGGAGACACGGCCCAGACUCCUACGGGAGGCAGCAGUGGGGAAUAUUGGACAAUGGGCGAAAGCCUGAUCCAGCAAUGCCGCGUGAGUGAUGAAGGCCUUAGGGUUGUAAAGCGCUUUUACCCGGGAUGAUAAUGACAGUACCGGGAGAAUAAGCUCCGGCUAACUCCGUG